rnacentral:rRNA from 1 species
AUAUUAUUAAGCGGAGGAAAAGAAACUAAAAAGGAUGUCCUUAGUAGUGGCGAAUGAAUAGGACAAAGCUCAAAAUUAAAAUCUAGCCUUUUAGGCUCGAAUUGUAGUUUUUCGAUCAUGUAUUACUGAAAUAUAUUGGGAUGUAAAUUCUUUGGAAUACGAUAUCAGAGAGGGUGAGAAUCCCGUAUUUAAUCUCAAUAUAUUCUACCGUAUUAUAUGACUGACGAGUCGGGUUGUUUGGGAUUGCAGCCCAAAUUAGGUGGUAGAUUUCAUCUAAAGCUAAAUAUCUCGGGGAGACCGAUAGCGAAGAAGUACUGUGAAGGAAAGGUGAAAAGAACUUUGAAAAGAAGGUUAAAAGUACUUGAAAUUGUUAAAAGGGAAACGAAUGGAACUAGUGUUCAUAUGUACAUAAUUCAAUUAAUAGAUGGAUUUUUAAUAGAAAUUUUUAGAGUUUUCAAAGACCUAAUGUUUUAUUAAUAUUUAUUUAUUGGUUUAUUUUAUGUAUUUUAUGAGUCAAUAUGAAUUUUUGGGUUUGGAGAAAGUUUAAAAUAAAGGUAGGCAUUCAUUUAUAUUUUUUAUAGAU